UCCGAGUUGACCCCGGCAGUCUCCUAUGAGUCCCCGCCAUUACGCGCUGGCAACAUAGAACGAGGGUUGCGCUCGUUGCGGGACUUAACCCAACAUCUCACGACACGAGCUGACGACAACCAUGCACCACCUGUAUACCGCCCUUGCGGACCUGACAUCUCUGCCAGUUUUCGGUAUAUGUCAAGCCUUGGUAAGGUUCUUCGCGUUGCGUCGAAUUAAGCCACAUGCUCCGCCGCUUGUGCGGGCCCCCGUCAAUUCCUUUGAGUUUUAGCCUUGCGGCCGUACUCCCCAGGCGGGGCGCUUAAUGCGUUAGCUGCGGCACGGAGAUCGUGGAAAGAUCCCCACACCUAGCGCCCAACGUUUACGGCGUGGACUAC
rnacentral:misc_RNA from 1 species